GCCAUUAAAUGUCCUGCAGAAAAGUAGAUUCCAAAUAUAUUCCAACCUUUUUGGUAGUGUUUAUUUGGUGGUGAUAAUAAAUGAACAUAGCCAGUUGGGCUUCUUUCAAGUACAUCUGCUAAUGUGACACCAACAAGAUUCCAUCCUUUCUUUUUCUAUGCAUUAAUGAUUUGGGCGCUAUCCUGUUUGUUUACGUGUUUUACAG